UCGGCUUAGAGUUUGAUCCUGGCUCAGGAUGAACGCUGGCGGCGUGCCUAAUACAUGCAAGUCGAACGCGGAAGCUUGCUUCCGAGUGGCGAACGGGUGAGUAACACGUGGGAAACCUACCUCUUAGCAGGGGAUAACAUUUGGAAACAGAUGCUAAUACCGUAUAAUAACUUUACCGCAUGGUGAAAGUUGAAAGAUGUUCUUAUCACUAAGAGAUGGUCCCGCGGUGUAUUAGCUAGAUGGUGAGGUAAUGGCUCACCAUGGCGAUGAUACAUAGCCGAGUUGAGAGACUGAUCGGCCACAUUGGAACUGAGACACGGUCCAAACUCCUACGGGAGGCAGCAGUAGGGAAUCUUCCACAAUGGACGAAAGUCUGAUGGAGCAACGCCGCGUGUGUGAUGAAGGGUUUCGGCUCGUAAAACACUGUUAUAAGAGAAGAACGUCAGUGAGGUAAUUCAUUGAGUGACGGUAUCUUAUCAGAAAGGGACGGCUAAAUACGUGCCAGCAGCCGCGGUAAUACGUAUGUCCCAAGCGUUAUCCGGAUUUAUUGGGCGUAAAGCGAGCGCAGGCGGUUAUUUAAGUCUGAUGUGAAAGCCUACGGCUCAACCGUAGAAUUGCAUCGGAAACUGGAUGACUUGAGUGCAGUAGAGGAGAGUGGAACUCCAUGUGUAGCGGUGAAAUGCGUAGAUAUAUGGAAGAACAC
rnacentral:rRNA from 1 species